UGGAUUUCAGGAUGAAAUGUAUCAAAUAUAACAUUUUUGUAUUCUGAAACUUAUUCUAAACUUAUCAUGGCCAACCAGAAAAAAUGGCAGUGAAAUUUGAAUCAACAGUGUGAGCAAAAAUCUUCAAAAAAAGCUUCAAAUUUCAAUGACACAAAAAAAUGACUAAAUAUUCCAAUAUAAAAAUUACAUCAAUUUCAUAGAAGUUUAUACUUCAUUACGUGAGCAGAAGCGGUUACAAGACAUAUUCUGUUGUUGGAAUCAUUGAGAUUGAAAUGUCGUUUGGCCGCCAAAGCCGUCAACUGACGCCGCGGCUGCAACGUUCGAAGAGUUUAUGUAUAUACCUACCUUACCUUAUUAUACCUGAACGUCAAAUAAGGUAACCGUUAUUAUACCUGAACGUCAAAUAAGGCUACACCGGCUCUAACCCUACACCUCUGACCCGAGAAGAUUUAAAUCCCCCCUCAAUUGGAGGAGGGUAUCCCAAUAUGGACCGGCAAGAAACCCGGCGGGACACAUCUUUUCAAAACAUUACAUCUUAUAAUUAACAUGCAUUAAAUAAGAAAAAAUAUACAAUUUAAAUUAGUAUAGAAAUCAUGCAAUUACAUACA